UAUGAAACUCCUCUACGGAAUAUCUGCACUCCUCCUACCAGCUUGCUUGGUUGCCGAGCCUGGAGACAACUCAAUUCAAUAUGAAUUGUCAGAGAUGGAUUCAACACCUCAAAUUUAUGCAGGUAUAG